rnacentral:rRNA from 1 species
UACGGGGGGAGCAAGCGUUGUUCGGAUUUACUGGGCGUAAAGGGCGCGUAGGCGGCCACCGCAAGUCAGUUGUGAAAUCUCUGGGCUUAACCCAGAACGGUCAGCUGAUACUGCGGGGCUAGAGUGCAGAAGGGGCAACUGGAAUUCUCGGUGUAGCGGUGAAAUGCGUAGAUAUCGAGAGGAACACCUGCGGCGAAGGCGGGUUGCUGGGCUGACACUGACGCUGACAGCGCGAAAGCCUAGGGGAGCGAACGGG